GACGAACGCUGGCGGCGUGCCUAAUACAUGCAAGUCGAACGAAGCUGUUUUAACUGGUGCUUGCACCGACUUAAACAACUGAGUGGCGAACGGGUGAGUAACACGGGGGUAACCUGCCCCAAAGCGGGGGAUAACAUUUGGAAACAGAUGCUAAUGCCGCAUAACCACAGAAACCACAUGGUUUCUGUGUCAAAGAUGGUUUCGGCUAUCACUUUGGGAUGGACCCGCGGCGUAUUAGCUAGUUGGUAAGGUAAUGGCUUACCAAGGCAAUGAAACGUAGCCGAACUGAGAGGUUGAUCGGCCACAUUGGGACUGAGACAGUGCCCAAACUCCUACGGGAGUCAGCAGUAGGGAAUCUUCCACAAUGGACGAAAGUCUGAUGGAGCAACGCCGCGUGAGUGAAGAAGGUUUUCGGAUCGUAAAACUCUGUUGUCAGAGAAGAACGUGUGCGAGAGUAACUGCUCGUGCAGUGACGGUAUCUGGCCAGAAAGCCACGGCUAACUACGUGCCAGCCGCCGCGGUAA
rnacentral:rRNA from 1 species